CCCCCCCCCCCCCCCCCCGUUUUCUCCCGGGACGGGCCCCGUCGCCCCCGGUUGUCCCCAUGGUGCCGGGUCCCCGCCCUGCUGGACCUACCGGGGCAGCGGUCUCUCCUGCGGGUCCCCCCGAGACCUCACCUCCGGCCCCCGGUCCGGCUCCCUCCUCUCACCGGGGCGGCCUCGGUGCCGUUCGCCUGCUGCCCGCGCAGCCCCCCCCAGGCGUGAUCCCGCGGGUCCCGGGGGCCACCCCCGCAGCUGUCACCGAGCCGGCCGGCGCCGAGUCCGACCCCCAGGGAGGGACUCGCGGCAGGACGAGCACUUGGGGAAUUUCACUUGUGUCUCCUGGACCGGUUAUUUAUAGGAAUCCCCAAAUCCAUCCACUCCAGCUGCCCGCGGACUGCACACUGACCCCGUCCCGAGCAGGGAUUCCUCAGCAUCCCGGGAGCAGGACAUGCAGCCGUCCCUGCCCUCGGUCCCCUCCCAGCUCUCGGUGCUCAGCAGACUGCUAAAAAGACUCUUUAGCCUCUGAACAGGCUGAGAGUGACACACGAAUCCCACAGUGCAGGGCUGGGCACACGGGCAGGGGGACAGGAUCUGCUGCCGCAGGAGGCAGGUGAGGGCUCCCAGCCCAAGCUCGGUAAGUCGGGAUCACAAGCCCACGGAGAUCCCUCAGUGUCACUCUUGCUGAGACUCCCCCACACUCACUCCAGGUGAAACCAGACCUUUCCCUUCCCUUCCACACAGUGAGAGCGCGCCAGGGCCAGGAGAGCCUGGCACAGCCUGAUGGUGCCACCGCAGAGGGUCAAGCAGAGCACAUCUGUCUCCCACACCCCAGCGAGGCUCUCCCGCCUGCCAUCGGCUGUGAAACAGCCCCACCAAUGCCCAGGGAACAGUCCAAACCAAGGCCCAGCCUCCCUGCAGAGCUGGGAAGAGCCAAAAAGACACAGAGAGCCCUGGGGUGGGUGUAGGACAGCUGGAUGUGGGCUCCUGACACCCCUCUUCCAACAGCCACCACCAGCAGCCAGUGCUCCACCCUACCUAAGGCUGAGAGGUUUCUUGGGGUAAGGGAACACCUGAAGGCCCCGCUGUCCUUCUGCCUCCCACGCCAACACCGCACCCAGGGCAUGAGGAAAGGGCCAGCCCCUGGUUUUCUGACGCCCAUACCAGCAUCGACUCAGGUCCAGCUGCAGCCCUGAGGGCUAAAAGCAGCUCCUACUCAGUGUAGGCUUGGGAGGAAUGGUGCAGGUGGAUAGAGCUGGUUUCCUGGACCACAAAGUUCCUUUCAUCCCUCUCCUUCCCCCCACACAGCACAGCAGAAUAGCCCCAGGAUCAGCUGCUGUCAGGCCAAACCCAGACCAGGUGCUUUAUUCACUUCAUAUUUAUUUUUCACAAAGACUGUACAAAAUUCUUAUAAAACUCUGGUGUGGGGAUGGGCUAUGACAUUGAUCCAAAAAAUAAUUCCCAUGCAGUCCCACCAGUUCCAUAACUUACAAGGAAACAGAUAAGCUACAGAGAGCUGCGAGUCCUGGAGUAUUUACACCGAGGAGGGCAGGAACAGGAGACAAAGCAACACGUGACGAGAGGUAUUUACAGCACGGACACACAGGCCCCCUCACCUCACGAGAACGGCAGCAGCGACAGCAGGUCAGGCCCGUGGUGCUCCGAGGCCGACAGAGAAUCUGGGCUAUUUACAGUAUCUCACAUAUUAACAGCUUUACAAACGUGUCCAGGAAGUUCAUCUCAUGUAUAAAAAAAAAAAGCACCAAGUGUCUGAA